rnacentral:rRNA from 5 species
UCUGGCGGCAGUAGCGCGGUGGUCCCACCUGACCCCAUGCCGAACUCAGAAGUGAAACGCCGUAGCGCCGAUGGUAGUGUGGGGUCUCCCCAUGCGAGAGUAGG